UACGUAGGUGGCAAGCGUUGUCCGGAUUUACUGGGCGUAAAGAGCGCGCAGGCGGUCGUCCAAGUCGCGUGUGAAGGCCCCCGGCUCAACUGGGGAGGGUCACGCGAUACUGAUCGACUCGAAGGCAGGAGAGGGUAGUGGAAUUCCCGGUGUAGUGGUGAAAUGCGUAGAUAUCGGGAGGAACACCAGUGGCGAAGGCAGCUCGCUGGGACGGUACUGACGCUGAGACGCGAAAGCGUGGGGAGCAAACAGG
rnacentral:rRNA from 1 species